CCCCUCCAUAUUAGGAAUUUCAAACUUCCCCACAUUUUCCCAUCUUCUCUUAAGCACUGCAAACUGUUUCAACCUCUGCCUGUUACCCAGUUCCAAAGUCGCUUCUACAUUUUCAGAUAUAUUUUAAGCAGUGCCCCACUGUACUGGCACCAACUACUGCAUUAGUUCAUUUUCAUGCUGCUGAUAAAGACUAACCCUAGACUGGGAAGAAAAAGAGG